GUGAUCGGCCGCUCGGUGUUCGGAGCCGGCAUCACCGUGGGUGAGGCCUGGCAGCGGCUGCGCGGCCGGUUACCCGCGCUGAUCGGGCUGACCGCG
rnacentral:tRNA from 2 species